rnacentral:rRNA from 1 species
GUGCAGCAGGCGAGAAACCUUCGCAAUGCGCGAAAGCGCGACGAGGGGACUCCGAGUGCCUAUGCUCAGCAUAGGCUGUUCACCGGUGUAAAAGCCGGUGGAGGAAGGGGUGGACAAGACUGGUGCCAGCCGCCGCGGUAAUACCAGCGCCCCAAGUGGUGAUCGAUAUUAUUGGGUCUAAAACGUCCGUAGCCGGCCCGGUAAAUCUCCGGGUAAAUCGUCCAGCUUAACUGGUCGAAUUCUGGGGAGACUGCCGGGCUUGGGACCGGGAGAGGUCGGAGGUACUCCAGGGGUAGGGGUGAAAUCCUGUAAUCCCUGGGGGACCACCGGUGGCGAAGGCGUCCGACUAGAACGGGUCCGACGGUAAGGGACGAAGGCUAGGGGAGCAAACGGGAUUAGAUACCCCCGUAGU